UACGUAGGGGGCGAGCGUUGUCCGGAUUUAUUGGGCGUAAAGAGCUCGUAGGCGGUUCGAUAAGUCGGACGUGAAAUCUCCACGCUCAACGUGGAGGGGCCGUUCGAUACUGUCGUGACUCGAGUCCGGUAGGGGAGUGUGGAAUUCCCGGUGUAGCGGUGAAAUGCGCAGAGAUCGGGAGGAACACCCGUGGCGAAGGCGAGGUGCUGGGCCCUUUCUGACGCUGAGUGCGCGAAAGCCAGGGGAGCAAACGGG
rnacentral:rRNA from 1 species